CCCCUCUGUAGUUGACCCUCAUGACCCCAAAGUCUGAUAUGCGAGAUGUAAACUUGCAAUCGCAAGAAAUAAACUCACAGCUCUGAGAAAAAGGUCUGAAAUGAUUAUAUCCAGCAACAGGUCUCACAUUGUCAAGCCUCCAGCAGGCAGCUGAAGUUCAUGCACACCUCCCAUCAGUUCCUGCAAAAGAGGCCCGCUUUCGCACCGCUAGAAAACUCCACGGCAGCGUGAAAUUGUUAAUAAUAUUUUUAGAAUAAAAAACUGGUCUGAGAAUAUGAGAUUAACCACAAUAAAUAAAAAUUGUUAAUAACAUUAUUUCAGAAUAAAUAUCUGGUC
rnacentral:lncRNA from 1 species